GGCAUGGAGCCAGGGUAGGUGGACCUUCAGACCUCAAAGCUUCCAAAGCCCUCUGGGUGGCCCCAGAAUCAGGUCAGGGGUUUGGCCAGGCUUGGAAAUGUAGGGAUUUCCCUAUUUCUUCAACAGUAGGAAUUCUGCAGAGGGAUGGCAUACUGUGGACCUCAGUUUGUAGUGGGCCAACUGCCCCAAGUUAGCCUGACAUUUUGAAGCCUGAGGGCCAGGCAAGAGCUAGAGUGGAGAGCAAGUCAGAUGGGGCUUGCCCUGAGUCCUAUACUCUCUGUCCAUCCAGUGGAGGUGAAGCCAGAUCCUGAGGAAUCUCAAGACAUGAAAGCCGUACAGAAAGAGAUAGAGCAAUUUGCCAAGAUGCUAAAGCUGAAGAGGGUCACCUUGGGAGUACACUCAGGCUGAUGUAGGUAUUACCUUAGGUGUUGUCUUUGGAAUAGUUCAACCAGAUCUGCCACUU
rnacentral:lncRNA from 1 species